rnacentral:rRNA from 1 species
UACGGAGGGGGCAAGCGUUAUCCGGAAUCACUGGGCUUAAAGGGUGCGUAGGCGGGUAGAUAAGUCAGUGGUGAAAUCUCCGAGCUUAACUCGGAAAAUGCCGUUGAUAUUAUUUGUCUUGAAUACUGUGGAGGUAAGCGGAAUAUGUCAUGUAGCGGUGAAAUGCGUAGAGAUGACAUAGAACACCAAUUGCGAAGGCAGCUUACUACACAGCGAUUGACGCUGAGGCACGAAAGCGUGGGGAUCAAACAGG